CCCCCGGUAGGAGAAAGCCUUCGGGUUGUAAAGUCCUUCACCGAGGAGGAAGGCGUUAAGGUUAAUACCUUGGCGAUUGACGUUCCUCGCAGAAGAAGCACCGGCUAACUCCGUGCCACCAGCCGCGGUAAUACGGAGGGUCCAAGCGUUAAUCGGAAUUACUGGGCGUAAAGCGCACGCAGGCGGUCUGUCAAGUCGGAUGUGAAAUCCCCGGGCUCAACCUGGGAACUGCAUUCGAAACUGGCAGGCUAGAGUCUUGUAGAGGGGGGUAGAAUUCCAGGUGUAGCGGUGAAAUGCGUAGAGAUCUGGAGGAAUACCGGUGGCGAAGGCGGCCCCCUGGACAAAGACUGACGCUCAGGUGCGAAAGCGUGGGGAGCAAACAGGAUUAGAUACCCUGGUAGUCCACGCCGUAAACGAUGUCGACUUGGAGGUUGUGCCCUUGAGGCGUGGCUUCCGGAGCUAACGCGUUAAGUCGACCGCCUGGGGAGUACGGCCGCAAGGUUAAAACUCAAAUGAAUUGACGGGGGCCCGCACAAGCGGUGGAGCAUGUGGUUUAAUUCGAUGCAACGCGAAGAACCUUACCUACUCUUGACAUCCAGAGAACUUAGCAGAGAUGCUUUGGUGCCUUCGGGAACUCUGAGACAGGUGCUGCAUGGCUGUCGUCAGCUCGUGUUGUGAAAUGUUGGGUUAAGUCCCGCAACGAGCGCAACCCUUAUCCUUUGUUGCCAGCGGUCCGGCCGGGAACUCAAAGGAGACUGCCAGUGAUAAACUGGAGGAAGGUGGGGAUGACGUCAAGUCAUCAUGGCCCUUACGAGUAGGGCUACACACGUGCUACAAUGGCAUAUACAAAGAGAAGCGACCUCGCGAGAGCAAGCGGACCUCAUAAAGUAUGUCGUAGUCCGGAUUGGAGUCUGCAACUCGACUCCAUGAAGUCGGAAUCGCUAGUAAUCGUAGAUCAGAAUGCUACGGUGAAUACGUUCCCGGGCCUUGUACACACCGCCCGUCACACCAUGGGAGUGGGUUGCAAAAGAAGUAGGUAGCUUAACCUUCGGGAGGGCGCUUACCACUUGGCAU
rnacentral:rRNA from 1 species